CAAGACGUAGCUUUAACGAAAGCAUUCAGCUUACACCUGAAAGAUGUCUGCCCUCACCAGAUCGUCUUGA
rnacentral:tRNA from 1 species